rnacentral:rRNA from 1 species
GACGAACGCUGGCGGCGUGCCUAAUACAUGCAAGUCGAGCGAAGUUUUUCUGGUGCUUGCACUAGAAAAACUUAGCGGCGCACGGGUGAGUAACACGUAAAGAACCUGCCUCAUAGACUGGGACAACUAUUGGAAACGAUAGCUAAUACCGGAUAACAGUAUUUCUCGCAUGAGAGAUAUUUAAAAGUUGGUUAUGCUAACACUAUGAGAUGGCUUUGCGGUGCAUUAGCUAGUUGGUGGGGUAAAGGCCCACCAAGGCGACGAUGCAUAGCCGACCUGAGAGGGUGAUCGGCCACACUGGGACUGAGACACGGCCCAGACUCCUACGGGAGGCAGCAGUAGGGAAUCUUCCGCAAUGGGCGAAAGCCUGACGGAGCAACGCCGCGUGAGUGAAGAAGGAUUUCGGUUCGUAAAGCUCUGUUGUUAGGGAAGAAUGGAUAUGUAGUAACUAUACAUGUAAGAGACGGUACCUAAACAGAAAGCCACGGCUAACUACGUG